rnacentral:rRNA from 1 species
GCGAAUCGAUGGGAGCUUGCUCCCUGAGAUUAGCGGCGGACGGGUGAGUAACACGUGGGCAACCUGCCUAUAAGACUGGGAUAACUUCGGGAAACCGGAGCUAAUACCGGAUACGUUCUUUUCUCGCAUGAGAGAAGAUGGAAAGACGGUUUACGCUGUCACUUAUAGAUGGGCCCGCGGCGCAUUAGCUAGUUGGUGAGGUAAUGGCUCACCAAGGCGACGAUGCGUAGCCGACCUGAGAGGGUGAUCGGCCACACUGGGACUGAGACACGGCCCAGACUCCUACGGGAGGCAGCAGUAGGGAAUCUUCCGCAAUGGACGAAAGUCUGACGGAGCAACGCCGCGUGAACGAAGAAGGCCUUCGGGUCGUAAAGUUCUGUUGUUAGGGAAGAACAAGUACCAGAGUAACUGCUGGUACCUUGACGGUACCUAACCAGAAAGCCACGGCUAACUACGUGCCAGCAGCCGCGGUAAUACGUAGGUGGCAAGCGUUGUCCGGAAUUAUUGGGCGUAAAGCGCGCGCAGGUGGUUCCUUAAGUCUGAUGUGAAAGCCCACGGCUCAACCGUGGAGGGUCAUUGGAAACUGGGGA